rnacentral:rRNA from 1 species
CCUACGGGUGGCAGCAGUGAGGAAUAUUGGUCAAUGGACGAGAGUCUGAACCAGCCAAGUAGCGUGAAGGAUGACUGCCCUAUGGGUUGUAAACUUCUUUUAUAUGGGAAUAAAAUGUUCCACGUGUGGGAUUUUGUAUGUACCAUAUGAAUAAGGAUCGGCUAACUCCGUGCCAGCAGCCGCGGUAAUACGGAGGAUCCGAGCGUUAUCCGGAUUUAUUGGGUUUAAAGGGAGCGUAGGUGGAUUGUUAAGUCAGUUGUGAAAGUUUGCGGCUCAACCGUAAAAUUGCAGUUGAAACUGGCAGUCUUGAGUAGAGGAGAGGUGGGCGGAAUUCGUGGUGUAGCGGUGAAAUGCUUAGAUAUCGCGAAGAACUCCGAUUGCGAAGGCAGUUCACUGGACUGAAACUGACACUGAGGCUCGAAAGUGUGGGUAUCAAACAGGAUUAGAUACCCUGGUAGUC